UACGUAGGGUGCGAGCGUUGUCCGGAAUUAUUGGGCGUAAAGAGCUCGUAGGCGGCUUGUCGCGUCGGAUGUGAAAGCCCGGGGCUUAACUCCGGGUCUGCAUUCGAUACGGGCAGGCUAGAGUUCGGUAGGGGAGAUCGGAAUUCCUGGUGUAGCGGUGAAGUGCGCAGAUAUCAGGAGGAACACCGGUGGCGAAGGCAGAUCUCUGGGCCGUAACUGACGCUGAGGAGCGAAAGCAUGGGGAGCGAACAGG
rnacentral:rRNA from 1 species